UUUCGGCUCAUCCUCUUCCUCUCUUAAAGGGCCAGUAGCCUCUGGAGACAGGAGCUCUCCAUCCCAGCUACAGAGAAUACACACACACACACACACACACACACACACACACACACACACGGACGGCUGGUAUAUAUGGGCUAACAGGGCUAAGCCCUCCCUCUCUUUUACAGUAAAGAUGAGAAACUAUUAUUAAAAACAUUAGAACAUAUUGUUUUGAAUUUUGGUAGAACCUAGAGCAGCAACAGCACAAAACUGUCAGGAUUCUGAGGGGAGAGCAGAAGCAGAUCGGACAAGAGGUAGAGUUUACACGGUUUAUUAGACAACGAGUGAAUAGUGAAAAAAGGGGGAGCUGGCAGGCGAGAGUGGGAGUCCAGAGGUGGGGGUGAUCCAGAGAGUGGCUGGCUGGGUGGGCUGAGUGGACUGGGUUCCAGGGCUGAGUCCCAGGAAUGAUUCCUGAGGCAGAGAGACACGGUUAGUUGCAGACAAUAACAGACGGCAAGAAGCAGACAGGCAACAAACGGUAGCAACGAUAAAUAACUGGCUGGAAAGCAGUAGCAUACUCAAAACUUCACAACAACCCGGCUUUGACUGGAUGUGUGGCUGCUCCUUAAAGGGACACUUCACCCAUUUGCAUCAAGCUUUGUAUCAUUAGAACCCCAGUCAUAUUUCUGAAUGGUCGUGCAUCAUUUCCUCUCUUUCCCUGAGAGGGAGAAAUAAGGAUGUCAGUGUGUCACUUCCUGCUUCCAAUGAUGUAAAAAUCGUCAUUCUGCGUCAUUGGAAGCAGGAAGUCUCAUAUCUCUGUAGAGGGGGUGAGACUACAAACACUACUUCCUCAUGUUGUUUCACUCACGCUACAGACCUAUUACAGAUCAGUGGGAGGGACUAAAAAAUAUAACCGCCAUCUUGUUUGGAAGCUAAGCGGGGGCGCUGUGGAGCCAGACGUUACGACUAUGGUAAUCAAUGUAAUAUGGAAGAAAUUUCGAAAGUACGAUGGUGGAAUCAGAUGUUUGUGGCUACCUUUAUGAGCCGCAAUAUAGCGAGCAGCGUCUGAGGCUGCUGCAGCCGAGGCCUGUCGCGGACGAGGAGCCCGGACCGGCUGGAGCUGGCGGACUGCUGGUGUCUGUGCUCUCGCUGUGCGCCUACGGACACACGGACGUCUGACUACAAUAUCGCUAACAGCCUUUCUGGAAUGGGUCCUGCAAGGCGAGAGAUUGGGUCGAGGCGUUGUUUUACCCGCUGAUGUGGUGCAGGCUCUCCGACAGUAUCCAGCUCCAGAUGGCCAGUACUGCGGCACCGAGACGUUGAGGACGCUCAGGACGAACUAGAACUGUCAUUGUUUACAUAUUUAUUGUUGUUGUUGUUGAUAUAUUUCUGUGAAUAAAUGGUUUACAUUCA